CCCGACUGCUAUUUGGGUGAGGAUAAGCCAUGCGAGUUGGAUGGGAUACCUAAACUUCCCAUAGCAAACUGCUUAGUAACACAUGAUCAACUUGCCCUAUGGAGAAAAAUAACCUCGGGAAACUGAGGAUAAUGUUUCAUAGUUGAAUAGGCUUGGAAAAGUUUUUCAAUGAAAGGAAUAAGAUAAAUGGUUCUUAUUUGCCAUAGGAUAGGAUCGUGGUCGAUUAUGGUAGUUGGUGAGAUAACGGCUCACCAAGCCGAUAAUCGAUAGGGGCCGUGAGAGCGGGAGCCCCAAGAUGGGUACUGAGACAGCGACCCAGGCCUUACGAGGCGCAGCAGGCGCGAGACCUCCGCAAUACACGAAAGUGUGACGGGGUUACCCAAAGUGUUCUCUUAAGAACUGUGGUAGGUGAGUAAUGUCCCCUACUAGAAAGGAGAGGGCAAGGCUGACUAGAAUGAGGAUAUUAAGAUUAUUUAUAAUCCCUCUUUUAGGCCUAAGUGCCAGCCGCCGCGGUAAAACCAGCUCUUCAAGUGGUCGGGAUAAUUAUUGGGCUUAAAGUGUCCGUAGCCGGUUUAGUAAGUUCCUGGUAAAAUCGGGUAGCUUAACUAUCUGCAUGCUAGGAAUACUGCUAUACUAGAGGGCGGGAGAGGUCUGAGGUACUACAGGGGUAGGGGUGAAAUCUUAUAAUCCUUGUAGGACCACCAGUGGCGAAGGCGUCAGACUGGAGCGCGCCUGACGGUGAGGGACGAAAGCCAGGGGAGCGAACCGGAUUAGAUACGUCGGUGCUAGAAUAAUAAAAUAACUAACACCAUGCUAAAAACCCGGGUAGUCCUGGCCGUAAACGAUGCAUACUAGGUGAUGGUACGGCCAUGAGCCGUAUCAGUGCCGUAGGGAAACCGUUAAGUGUGCCGCCUGGGAAGUACGGUCGCAAGGCUAAAACUUAAAGGAAUUGGCGGGGGAGCACCACAAGGGGUGAAGCCCGCGGUUC
rnacentral:rRNA from 1 species